rnacentral:lncRNA from 1 species
GAUAUCAAUACUCUUAUAUAAAAGUUUGUGUAUUUUGAUGUUAUUAUUCUAAUUUAUAAGUUUAAUUUUUUAUGAGGAUGUCUCACACAUGUGUAAACGUCUGUACAAUAAUGAUAAAACACUUAUAAGUUUCUUAUUAAAAUAUAUAAGUGAUUCGAAUCGUUCAAACCGUCCACACUGAAGAAGUUGUGUUAAUCUAAAAUAAGGGAAUGUAUAUUAAUAUCAUAGGACUGAAUGAUGAAUGGAUUAUUGU